AACCAGAGGACAUCAUGCUAAGUGAAAUAAGCCAGACACGGGUCAGAGUGUGUAACCGAGACCACUGCUCGCCAACUGCAGACUCCAGCUUAUCUGCGCCCAGGCUUCCUCACUUAGUCUGAGAAGACCCAUUCUAAGGCCCCAGGAAGAGAGAGGUGCUCUGAGGCAAGUUGGAGGAGAACCCUCAGCACAGAGCCCAGACCCACAUCCUCAGGGCAGAGGGAAGAGGCUCACAGGACAGUGGUCCUAGGAGAGCUGGACCUGCAGUGGCCUUUGUCUUUCAUGGUCAGCUGAGAGAGGGCAAUGCUGGCUCAACUUCCAGGUGUCAUCAAGGACCAUGUGACAGUGGGCAGUUGGAUCCCUG